rnacentral:rRNA from 1 species
UACGUAGGGGGCGAGCGUUGUCCGAAGUUACUGGGCGUAAAGCGCGCGUAGGCGGGGGGUUAAGUGGGAGGUGAAAGGCUGGGGCUCAACCCCAUGCAGUGCCUCCCAUACUGGCCUUCUUGAGGGCGGUAGGGAGAAGUGGAAUGGCUGGUGUAGCGGUGAAAUGCGUAGAUAUCAGGAGGAACGCCGGCGGCGAAAGCGGCUCUCUGGCCUGUUACUGACGCUGAGGCGCGAAAGCUAGGGGAGCAAACGGG